GAUGCCACUAAAUUCUUCACACUGGUCCUUUAAGGUGAUCAGAGAAACUUUCCUCCUUCAGCAGAUGAACGUGAAGACAAACUCUGUUCCUACGUCAUUCUGCACGGAGAAGCUUAAACAUCACAGUGAUGGAACAAGAAGAAAAACACAUUUUUUGAGCGGAGACUUUAAAAAAGCUGUCAGCAAGUCUGCCUCCUACUGAAUACAAUCUCAUUAACAAUUUACAAGACUGAUGCAACUUUUUGAAAUAUCUUUCUCCCCUUUACGCACCGUGUUGUCAAAGGUCAACAAUGUGUAGUAGGAGGUUAAAAAGAACCAAACAGAGAAGAUGAAACAUUUAUGAGUCGAAGCCAGAGGUGUUACAUAAACUAAAUCUUUAACCAGCUCAAAUUCUUGACUUGUGCUGGCCUUGUCUCCCAUCAGCCUUUACUCCUGUUCCUGUCUGUCUCCGUAAUGGAGUGUGAGUUAUCUUGCCUUCAGGCUGCGUUACAAUCCGGAGAUUCAGCCAUCAAGCCCGACUCUGUCCUCCACAACCAGGCGGAGGAGACUGUGUGUGUCUCUUCUGGGUCAGAGCACUGCAGAGCUGGAGGGAAUAACGUUAAGACACAGUUUGAUAUAUGUGCGACAGUCACGCUGCACUCCUCUGACCCGGCUGUCAGAGGCGGCGAGCUGCAGGAGGGAAACAGGGAUAUCAUCAUUUGUUAUUUUCAGCUACUGUUCACAGACAACUGCAAACAGACAGCUAGACGGAGUGCCACAGAGUCUCAGAGGGGUAUAUCCUGAGAGGAAGGAGGAAGCUGCGCCUUUGUUCCUGUAAUUUUCAUGCAAAUCAUCGUCUGUUGUGCCAGAGACGAGACAGCUGGAGGGAAAAGAGACAGACAGGAAGAAGAAACUCUGGAUUUAAAUUUUUGGCAGAGAAACCUCUCUCCAAAAUCUCACCUGUUCAUUGAGGAAUAUUUACUCUACUCUUCUAAUGAUUUUCAGUCAAGACUAAAGCUCCAUUAACAUUACUGGAGGAGAUGAGGAAUGAAAUAUUCUCUGUGCUCCUCAGUUACUGAACUCAUGCUGUGGAUGGGAAUUCAACCAUGGGGAACUGACAGCAUAAGGUCUGUAAUAGACAGAAGAUACUGCGUGAAGCCAAUAAAAAUUGUCUUCCUUCUCAUUGUUAUAUCAAAUGUGAACACACAUGAAACACAUAUUGAUAUCGUUCAGUGUGACCUACAUUUCCUGAGCAUAUCAUUAUCUCAGAUAUGCAUCACCAAUAAAUCUCCAUGAAUCCACUUAGAAACCAGAGAAUAAAAGAAGCUGCAGAAUUUACCUUAUAA